UACGUAGGGUGCAGGCGUUAAUCGGAAUUACUGGGCGUAAAGGGCGCGUAGGCGGUCCUGAUCGUCGGAUGUGAAAGGCCUGGGCUCAACCUGGGAACUGCAUCCGAUACGGCGGGACUGGAGUGUGGGAGAGGUUGGUGGAAUUCCCAGUGUAGAGGUGAAAUUCGUAGAUAUUGGGAAGAACACCGGUGGCGAAGGCGGCCAACUGGACCACAACUGACGCUGAGGCGCGAAAGCGUGGGGAGCAAACAGG
rnacentral:rRNA from 1 species